CCGGGUUAAUCCAUCCACCGACUCCACCGCCUUUUUACUUCUCAUAUUCGAUCUGUUUGAUUAUUUGCGUUUGUGACAUCACCUCACCACCGCUUUAAUAUGUUUUGUCCUUCUAUUGGAGCGCUUUCCCCCUUCUCCACCAUGAUAUAUGCAACUGGAAAGAGAUCAUCGAUCGUCGUCGCCGUCUCGACUAACACCACACGACCACCUUCACACCUGCUUCACCCCUAUCGUACCCCACCGUCGACGGUUUUCUGCAAGGCGCAUCGCUAUACCCAACAACUUUGUCGACGACGUUGCUAAGUUCGGUAACCUUGACCUUCUCAGCCAUCGGUAACGUCGAUCCUCUGAGCAAUAUUCUAAAAUUAGUCAAAAGAUUUCAACAUUGAACCGCCUCUUUCAAUCUCAAUUUAUGAUUUCUAUGGGAUGAGAGGAGCAAGAAAGGGAUAACGACAGAUGGGUUUUCUCAAUAAAUUUCUAUCCCUCUCUCUGAUUUGACAUUGCCUUCUCAGUUUGACAGGCGUUUUAUUUCAAUUUGAUCAGUUGAAUCGCAUUUAUCACUGCUGGAACAAAGGAAUCUUCACAAGAAAGAGGUUAGGCCUAAGAAAAGGUGGUUAAUAGAAUCCUCAAAACGAGUCUGAAUUUCAACCUGAAAGGGAAACCAAAUAGAUUUCACUUCUAUUUAUUGUUGUGAGUUUACUUUGAGGCAAAUCGUAACUGUGUUUGUAAAAGCUAGAUUGGGCUGCUUAUUUGGAUGAAAACUAAAAUUGUUAAGUUACAGAGUGUUUGAUUUUGGUAUAUAGAUAGAAUAGAAAAAUGUUCAGAAAACAAUCCAGAAACGACAAGGGUUCUCAUUAGUUCUGUGUAUUGCCUUUAAGGUGUUUGUCAAAAUGCCUACUUUAUUGUACUAUUUUUUUUUUUUUUUUUUUUUUUUUUUUAAGAUUAAAGAUACUUAUAAACAACAAAAACCAACAGGGGUAUUAUACUAUUUUACAAUCUAUGAAUUAAAACAUUUGAAUCUGUAAUCACAUAUAUAGGUUAUCAAAUGCAUAGACCAAAUUAAAGAUCUUAUGAAGUGUGUUCGUGGCUGCCAUAUAAAGGAUUAAAACCACCUCUAAGUUUAAAAAAAUUACCAAAAAAAACCCUAAUUUUUUUUUACCAAACCGGGUCUUUUUGGUUCUUUUCCAGUUCUUUUGGUUCCAAAUCAAAUUACCCAUAAUUUUUGGUAUUUUUUUUUCUGAUUCUGUAACCCACAAUAGUAGAAGGUUGUAACACAAACAAAGAUUGUCAAAGUAUUGUAGUUCGGUAUAUUUACAUUAUUAUAACCCAUAAUAUUAGUGUACUAAUAAGUUUUUGUUGUUUUUUUAAUUGAAAGUUAACUUUGAGUGACUUUUAGUUGAAGGUCAUUUUUUGAUUUGCAUAGGUAGGAAACUUUUUGGUUAAAGGUUACAUAACCGUCUAAAGCAUUACCCGAUCUAUUUCCUCUUUAUCUUUUUUAAUCUUGAAACGAAUUAAAAAAAUACUGAAGAGGGUUUAGAGCUUGAUUUUCUCUUUUGAUGAGCAUCACUUAGAAACACAAGUCAAGACCGCCAUACAAGUUGAGGCAACUUCUCAGGAAAUAUUUGUUGCUGCAGAAGCUAAGCUUACUGAUUUCAAACAGAUACUGGAAAGAUAAAAAAGAGAAAAGUAUAGACACUUGAAUGUAUUAUGGCCCAAGCAUGUGAAAAAUGAAACCUAUAUUUUCGAGGUUCAGACUAUUAUUGCCCAUGCAUAUGAUGAUAUCCAAACAGAAAAUUAAUAACUUUUGUAGCAAAUAAUCGAGAGAGGUAACUAUAACAUUCAGGACAUAUCACAUGUUAUCAGAAAGAAUAGAGAAAACUUCUUGUAAGUUGGACGACCAGAGGAAAUGAAGUUUGGUCCAAACCCGAGUCUAUUCAUCUAAAAAAUCAAUCAAAAUUUAUUAGGUUAUGCUAAAAGUCAUCACAGAUGACAGAUGAAUAUAGAAACUCUCCGGUGGGUACACAAUCGGAUCAGUUCCAUCUUUUCUUAGAAUGUUAUUCAUGUUGUCAAUGUCUUUUGGAUAUGUAAUGUAUCAACUUUCAAUACAAUAUUUCUAAAA